UACGGAGGAUCCAAGCGUUAUCCGGAUUUAUUGGGUUUAAAGGGUGCGUAGGCGGAUUGAUAAGUUAGAGGUGAAAUGUCCGAGCUCAACUCGGGAACUGCCUCUAAUACUGUUGAUCUAGAGAGUAGAUGCGGUAGGCGGAAUGUAUGGUGUAGCGGUGAAAUGCUUAGAGAUCAUACAGAACACCGAUUGCGAAGGCAGCUUACCAGUCUAUAUCUGACGUUGAGGCACGAAAGCGUGGGGAGCGAACAGG
rnacentral:rRNA from 1 species